rnacentral:rRNA from 1 species
ACAGAGGGGGCAAGCGUUGCUCGGAAUUACUGGGCGUAAAGGGCGCGUAGGCGGGAUGGCAAGUCGGUCGUGAAAUCCCUCGGCUCAACCGAGGAACGUCGAUCGAUACUGCUGUUCUUGAGGAUUGCAGAGGAGACUGGAAUUCCCGGUGUAGCGGUGAAAUGUGUAGAGAUCCGGAGGAAGACCGGUGGCGAAGGCGGUCUGCUGGGCAGUUUCUGACACUGAGGCGCGACAGCGUGGGGAGCAAACAGGA